CACAAUCUGACUGGCAGUCAUUUACAUUUACACAACCUAACUGGCAGUCGUUUACAUUUGCACAUCUAAUGGCAUUGUAAUAAACUUCUAUACUUUUUGCACCAAGUGUGGUCUAGAUUUUGACCGUUGUCUUUUUCAGAAAGACUCUAGGAGUACAAUUAUGAGCACUAAAACUUGAAUAAGUGUCAUUUAUGUCAGGAAAAUGAUCACUUCCUUCCGAUUCUGAAUGAUUUUGAUUUGCUUGGCUUUUCUGGGAUCUUGGGUUUUUCUUGCUGUAGUCCAUUUUGGGGGUUCUGAACAGGUACUCUGACUCUGAUGUUCUGGGGGUAAAGUUGUUCGCUCUUUGGUCGUGGUCGAACAACAACUCUGGGCUGAAAUGAAAAUAAAUACAAUUUAAAUCAGCAACUUGGUUUGAAUACAAUGGCUAAUCUUUGUCAUUAUUGUGGAUUGUAAUAAGUAUAAAUUU
rnacentral:lncRNA from 1 species